GGAUGUGAUGGUGAUCUGGCUGCGACAUCUGUCACCCCAUUGAUGGCAUUGAUGGCAGGGGUUGAUUCAGCUGAUCUGGCUGGCUAAGAGGGUGUACUCUUCCUCCCUCACCACUUCAUGUGUGUCCUUCUGGAAGCUGCGCCCUUGGUGGAAGAGGACGGCCUUACCCCCAAUAAAGAGAGACGGGUCUUCAGUCGAGGGUAUACUAGUAGCUGUGCUCCCCUGCUAGAACCUCCAAACAAGCUCUCAAGGUCCAUUUGUAGGAGAACGUAGGGUAGUCUAGCUUCCAUCUCAGAGCCCCAGCUCCCCACUUGCUGGGGGUGGGGUGGGGUUGG
rnacentral:snRNA from 1 species